rnacentral:rRNA from 1 species
GAUGAACGCUGGCGGCGUGCCUAACACAUGUAAGUCGAACGUGAGGGUGCUAGCAAUAGUGCCUGAAAGUGGCGAACGGGUGAGUAACACGUGGAUAACCUACCCUGGAGUGGGGGAUAACGACUGGAAACGGUCGCUAAUACCGCAUACGACUCUCUGCACGGGAGUGUAGAGAAUGAAAGAUUUAUCGCUCCAGGAGGGGUCUGCGUCCGAUUAGCUAGUUGGUGGGGUAAUGGCCUACCAAGGCGAUGAUCGGUAGCUGGUCUGAGAGGAUGAUCAGCCACACGGGAACUGAGACACGGUCCCGACUCCUACGGGGGGCAGCAGUGAGGAAUAUUGCACAAUGGGGGAAACCCUGAUGCAGCAACGCCGCGUGGAGGAUUGAAGGUCCUUGGAUUGUAAACUCCUUUUCUGAGGGACGAGAGAGGACGGUACCUCAGGAAUAAGUCACGGCUAACUACGUG